CGCUGGCGGCGUGCCUAAUACAUGCAAGUCGACGGUCUUUCUAUGGAAGCUGCUUCACUGAGAAGAUAGUGGCGAACGGGUGAGUAACACGUGGGUAACCUGCCCAUAAGAGGGGGGUAACAUCCGGAAACGGGUGCUAAUACCGCAUAGUUUUCUUGAUCGCAUGAUCGGGAAAGGAAAGACGGCCUUUGUGCUGUCGCUUAUGGAUGGACCCGCGGCGUAUUAGUUAGUUGGUGAGGUAAUGGCUCACCAAGACGAUGAUACGUAGCCGACCUGAGAGGGUGAUCGGCCACAUUGGGACUGAGACACGGCCCAAACUCCUACGGGAGGCAGCAGUAGGGAAUCUUCCGCAAUGGACGAAAGUCUGACGGAGCAACGCCGCGUGAGUGAAGAAAAGGUUUUCGGAUCGUAAAACUCUGUUGUCAGAGAAGAACAAGUUGGAGAGUAACUGCUCCAGCCUUUGACGGUAUCUGACCAGAAAGCCACGGCUAACUACGUGCCAGCCGCCGC
rnacentral:rRNA from 1 species